UGAUCAUGGCUCAGAUUGAACGCUGGCGGCAGGCCUAACACAUGCAAGUCGAGCGGUAGCGGGAAGAGCUUGCUCUUUGCCGACGAGCGGCGGACGGGUGCGUAACACGUAGGAAUCUGCCCGGUAGUGGGGGAUAGCCCGGAGAAAUCCGGAUUAAUACCGCAUACGCACUAGCUCUUUAAGAGCGGUGGAAAGCAGGGGAUCGGUUCGCCGACCUUGCGCUAUCGGAUGAGCCUGCGUCGGAUUAGCUUGUUGGUGGGGUAAAGGCCCACCAAGGCAACGAUCCGUAGCUGGUCUGAGAGGAUGAUCAGCCACACUGGGACUGAGACACGGCCCAGACUCCUACGGGAGGCAGCAGA
rnacentral:rRNA from 1 species